GCACUGUUGAGGAGUCCCGCAAUAGGACGAAACGACCGUCCAGUGC
rnacentral:hammerhead_ribozyme from 1 species